AUACGGAGGAUCCGAGCGUUAUCCGGAUUUAUUGGGUUUAAAGGGUGCGCAGGCGGGAGAUUAAGUCGGCGGUGAAAUUUUGCAGCUCAACUGUAAAAGUGCCUUCGAAACUGGUUUCCUUGAGUGUAGAUGGAGUAGGCGGAAUUUGUGGUGUAGCGGUGAAAUGCAUAGAUAUCACGAGGAACUCCGAUUGCGCAGGCAGCUUACUAAACUACUACUGACGCUCAGGCACGAAGGCGUGGGGAUCAAACAGGAUUAGAUACCCUGGUAGUCCACGCAGUAAACGAUGAUUACUAGCUGUUUGCGAUACAAUGUAAGCGGCUGAGCGAAAGCGUUAAGUAAUCCACCUGGGGAGUACGUUCGCAAGAAUGAAACUCAAAGGAAUUGGCGGGG
rnacentral:rRNA from 1 species